rnacentral:rRNA from 1 species
GCCUACGGGGGCAGCAGUAGGGAAUCUUCCACAAUGGGCGAAAGCCUGAUGGAGCAACGCCGCGUGGGUGAAGAAGGUCUUCGGAUCGUAAAACCCUGUUGUUAGAGAAGAAAGUGCGUGAGAGUAACUGUUCACGUUUCGACGGUAUCUAACCAGAAAGCCACGGCUAACUACGUGCCAGCAGCCGCGGUAAUACGUAGGUGGCAAGCGUUAUCCGGAUUUAUUGGGCGUAAAGGGAACGCAGGCGGUCUUUUAAGUCUGAUGUGAAAGCCUUCGGCUUAACCGGAGUAGUGCCUUGGAAACUG